UUCCUAUUAUUUAACUUCAUAUGAACAAAUUAUUUACAAUUUCCAUCAAAGUUUAUACAAAUUUACAUUGACCAAUGGUACAACAAUUUGCUCAUUCAUCGAGCCAGUCCAGAUCGAAAUGUUUCUCCACCACCUGAACAUGAAGCUCCGGCAAUGCCUUCUCUGCAUCUCUCCACAUCCAAGAAAUAUCCUCGUCGCACACUACACGGCGCAGGGACUGUAACGCUGCAGCGGAUUUCGGCAGAUUGCUAAUUUGUGAACAUUCCCUCAUGUCAAUCUUUACCAAACUUGCUAGCUUACCAAUGUCCAUGGGUAGGCAUCUCAAAUUUACACAUUGGGAAAUGUCAAUGUACUCCAAGCGAAGUAGCUCGCAAAUGCUAGCUGGAAGCGUCUGCAGUGCCGGACACGCGUAUAACCUUAGGAUCUGUAGAGAUUGCAGCCUUCCCAAAUCAGCUGGGAGCUGGUAUAGGCUGUGGCAGUUGGUUACGCUCAAGUUCUUGAGCGAAGGCAUUGUGCAAAUGCACGAAGGCAGCUGGAAUAAGUCAUCGCAAUGAUCGAUUGUGAGCUCUGUGAGCCGAGGAAAGGUGGAUUGAUCAAGGCUAUUACUGAUCUUGCAUAGGAUUAUAUAGAUUUUCCUCAGAUUUUUCAGGGGGAUGGUGGAUAACCGAGGGACAAAUACUUUUUCGAGCCAGAGGCUUCUCAAGUUGGUUAAGUUUGAGAAGACUGAAAAGCCAUUUAGGAUGCAAUUUGACGUACUGUAAUUCAUGAUUAUCAAUGCCCUCAACUUUGGCAUGUUUUCAAUGAAAGGAGGAAGAAGGUAAUCGUUGUCCGAUGAAAAAUUCAAAAUCAGCACUUCACAUUUGGGAAACUCCAUCUGGAACCAGUCCAUCUCUUUCAUUUCACCUGCAUUAUCGAGGGAUGAAUCGGUUUAAAUCAGCACGAAAGAGUAAACAUAACAAAUAACCUCAUAAUCAAUAAUGCAAUUACUGAGGCACGUUAAUACCGGUAUGAACUGAUACAAUCUUCGCGUGAAAUGGCUGAUCUGAAUCCCUCUCCCAUUCUCUUGGAAGUUCAGUCUCUCUUCUUGGCAUAAGCAAUCGACUGCGUUCGUUCACGCUGCCAUCAUUGCUCAAAUGAAGAGCAAGGUCCCUCAGCACAUCAUGUUGUGUAACAGAUAUGUCAUAGCAACUGCUAUAUAUGUCUCCAACUCUGCAACAUUAAUAUAAACAAAGGGUUCAAAACAGAAACUAAUCACACUCAAGUAAAAGAAAUCAAGUACCGAACUUUAUGCAUCGUACCUUGCAUCUUUCACCAGGGUGAGGAGAUUUUUGUUUGAAAGCUCAACAAGAAUAGCAAACGCUUCUUCUUCGUCGAUGCCAUGUAUUUCAACCCACAUAUUGGUAAGGACAUCAAGAGGGAUCUUCUUGUCUUCUGGAAACGCACCCAAAUCCAAGAAACAUGAUUUAACAUUUUUGGAUAAGCAGUCGAGACUCGUUGCCAUACGUUUAAGUAGAUUGUUCUCAUGGGACUCACAAAAAGCUUCCCCUUUCGACAACUUGCUCCUUGCAUUUGCCCAACACAAUUCAGGCUGGUCCUUCAGUGAAGCUCCAAUCACUUUGAGAGCCAAAGGAAGCCGCUUACACUCGUUAACAAUCUAAAGUUCAAGAAAACAAUCAGUUACCGAUCGAAGGAAACACAAAACAACCCAUUUUGAUUAGCAGAAAAUGGAGAUUGGAGACUUAUGACAACUUUUGGCAGUAGAACUUAGAAAGUGAUUAUGCAUUAUAGAAGCACUUUCUAGAGGUUUUCAAAGAAGCAAUUGUAUUAGCAAAAGCGCUUAUGAGCGGAAAGAAUUGCAAGCGGGCACUAAGAUAGUACCUGCUUGACCAAAUUUUUAUCAGCAGCAGGAGGAAUGGACUUUUGGCCAAAAGCAGAGUGACAAAACAGAGAGAGUGCUUCUUCUUCCCUCAACAACUCAACAUCAUAAGUGGCAUUGAGGACGGUUGGGAAUUUGAAACGUGAGACCACAAGAAACUUGCAGCCUGGGAUCUUAAAGAGCAGCGGCUCAAGCACUGCCAGUGACCACACAUCAUCCAAAACCACCAGAGUUUUCGUUGCGGUAAUCCAUUCAUAUUGCAAGUUCCAUUGGGGAAGCACAGAAUUGGGACUGAGAAUUUGGUUCCCCAUGAUGAACUGCACAAUCUUGGCCUUCAACUGGUUCACAUCUGGAGACUGUGAUACAGUCAGGAACAGAAUUCUAUCACUGAAAUAAGCUGCAUUCGAAUGGCGAUGAACACAAAACAGAGUCAGUGUUAAAUUCUAAAGAACUCAAAUUCAAGAGAACCCAUUAAAGACAAUUCAAGUUCUAUAAAACCCAUGAAAGAACAUUCUCAAAAGAAGCAAAACAAAGCAGAGUUUUGAAAAUUCAUCUAAAAACUCUUCUGACAAGAAUUGGCGAAAAAGUGAUUAUAUCAUCUGAAAAGCUUUUGAAUUUUCAAUACAAAUUUCAACUUGUUUGUAAUAAAAUAAAAGCACUUCUAGCAAAAUCGAUUAUGAUCACAAGUACGCAAUCCGAAACAUGCACUCAGUUACUUACAUCUGACUUGAUCAUCCUUGCAAAGCUCUCUAGCGAGGGUGGUUUUUCCAGAGCCACCAAUCCCACAAAUCCCAACGACCCUCAAAUCCUCCCUCCCAAAAAUCAUUCCCUUCACCGUCUUCAUCCCCACCCCCAAUCCUAACACCACCGAACUGCUCACCUCCCACUUCAUCUGCCCUUCCUCCUCCACCCUCCUCACAGCCUCCUCCAUCCACCCGCCACCGACACCCCCGCCCCCGCAAGUCCCAAUCUUUAAGGUCCCAAGCCGCUGUUCCAGCGUCCGGUUCGACCAAUCAAGCCGGUCGAACCGCUGAUCCAUCCCCGCCCUAAUGUGGUGGACGUCGGCCAAGAUAUGGACCUGUAAUGGGCCCUGAAGAAAUCUGGACACUGUCUUCUCCAAAGCCUCCAUCUUUUUCGCCAAUCGGACGUGCCUGUAAAAGUUCCAGCGCGGUGUCGCGAGGAUUUUUUGGACCAGUUCGAGGCCGUUCUGGAGAACUUCCGACAUGCGGUCGAGCUGGAACUGCCGUUCGGCCGGUAGCUCAACGCCGGAGUACUUGAUUUCUUGGAUUAUGGGGAGGAGCUGCUCGACUGAGGUUUUGAGUUCCUCGGCGAUUCCUCUGCUGUUGCAUGACUUGCGGGAGAGGGCGAUCAAAUUUUUCAGGAGCUCCGUCGUGAUCUCGCCGACGAAGAAGUCCGUCACUGCCAUUGUUGGUGGUGGUGGGAGCUGUGCGGCUAUGGCGGGUGAAAUGGUUUGUCUUGUUAUGGAGAGCGCGUUUCGACGAUGCUUCUCAGUUAUGCCCUCUGCCUUUUGAAACGUUGUUUUAUAAUUGUGACAUGCGUUUUUUUUUUUUUUAUAAAGAAAACUAAUGAAAAAUGUAUAAAUUUUUUUAAAUUUAACUAUAAAAGUAAAGUAAAAUGUAAAAUAAAUAGUAUCAGAAUUGACUUUUUAAUGUAAAAAUAUGAUUUUUCUUUAAAAUGAAUAAUACCAAGAUUUUUUCAUUAAAGUUCUAUUUUUUGAAUACUAAUCAACUAACUACUUAAAGAUUGGUUUUUUUUGCCAUAUGCCAUCACUUUCAUUUUACUUUUAUUAAAAUAAGUCAAAUUCUUUAAAUUUAAUUAUUUAAUUAUAAAUAAUUAUCUCUUCAAUGAUAAAAUUUAUUAUAAAAAUCAAAUUUGUUCUUAAUUAUCUUUUUUUUUUUGGUGCUAUUUCUUGUUCUUCUUCCGGCUUUAAACCCUAUUUAUAGAUUUUAUUUUUAAUUCUUAUAAGCAACAUAUAUCACAUGUUAAUUAUAUUUAUCUACCUAUAUGAUAGAUUUAUUUUUAUAAUCGACCUGUCACAUAUUAAUGUGUCUUACUUCUAUGUGUAUUAUGUUUUUCUACCUUUUAGUUGGGUUUCAUAUCUCGUUUAUAGGUAUAAUAUACAUUCGUAUAUUUUUACUUGAGUUAGGGUAUAAUGUUUUGCAAAUAAAUUUAUGUUAGUAUAUAUAUAUAUAUUAUUUUUUUUUGUUAUAAGAUAUUAAUUAGACUUUUUGGAGUUGAAAAAUACAUAAUAUUAGAAGAUUUUAAUUGAUUUUUAAUACUUUUAGAAAAUGUAAAAUGAGUAUAAAAGAAAUAAAAACAUGUAAAUAGAUAACUUGACUCACUUCUAAAAAUCAUCAAUGUUUUUGGACCUGGAUCUAAAAGCCCCAUGUAAAGAACAAUAAUAAAUAAGGAAAACUAAUUUAAAAAGUUUCAAAACUUUUAAUUUUAACAAAAAACCAUCCACUAGUUUUUUUUUUUUAAUGAUAAGGACAAAAAAAAAGAAAAAAAAAACCUAAAAAAAGUGCGUGCAACUCAAACCCAGUUGUUAACUCGCUCAUUCUCCUCCCAUCACUUCGUUUUGCAGCAGUCUCUUCUAACAAAUUUCACAUCCGAGUUUCCUCUCUAGCUUGGAAAUCAAGUACAACGCAAUCCAAACGCACUUUUAAAGGCCUUUGUUGAGCACUACUACGUACAUGUUUGAUGCCAACCGCGCGGCCAUGGCUAAUCUAUACCAGGAAAGCUCAAUGUUGAGCUUCGAAGGUCAGAAGAUCCAAGGAAGGCUCUUAUGUAUAUUUGUUUCAAUACAACAUGGAAUGUAUAUUUGAUUUGAUUUAGCUAAUCUAUGAUAUGGUUAACCUAUACCAUGAAGGCUCAAUGUGGAGCCUUGAAGGUCAGAAGAUCGAAGGGUCACAAAAGCAUCAUGGCCAAGCUUACUAGCCUCCCCUUCCAGCAAUGCCAGCACUACUGUGAUUUUGGCUAUGGUUUUGGUGAUUUUGGCUUUUGUGAUCGAGGUUAGUCAAUCUGCUAUAAACUUGAUUUUGGUUUGAAAAAUAGUCAGUGCUUAGUUUACGUAAUAGUAACAGUACUAGUUUACGAAAUAGUAAUAAUACUAGUGUUUGGUUUGAAAAAUAGUCAGCGCUUAGUUUACGAAAUAGUGAUUGUACUAUUACUUGGUUUAAUACAUAGUCUAUUUAGUUUACGAAAUAGUGAUGGUACCAGUGUUAGGUUUAAGAAAUAAUUAGUGUUUAGUUUACAAGGUGUUCGGUUUAAGAAAUGGUCAAUGUUUAGUUUACGAAAUAGUAAUAGUACUAGCGUUCAGUUUAAGAAAUAGUUAGUGUUCAGUUCAAGAAGUAAUGAUAGUAUUAGUGUUUGGUUUAAGAUUGUUGACCCUAAAAACUACCAAGCCUAUAUGGCGCUGUUUAGGCCCAAAAUAAAGUUUGGGCAGAGUAGAGAAUCAUUCUCGGCCCGGAAGGCCUUGCGGCAUGGAUCGUUCAGUACGUGGGCCUCCAAACCUAGGUCGGCUAGGUCAGGACGUAGGAUAAGUCAAGUCCUGGUGCAAUAAGGAGUCUCAGCAGGAUUAAUAACCCUAGAGCGAAUCCGACUCAAUAAAGGACUAGGUUCACAGUCAUAAUGAAAGUAGGAUUGGUCGAGUCAGUGUUUGAUUUGGGAGAAGAAGUCCUAGUCCGAAUGGGGUUUUAACUCGACCUUGGGGGGAGCCGUUGCUAUAAAUAGAAGAGGUCGUGCAUCAUUCGAGCCCCCUACAAUUCAACACAAAACUGCCCUGCGCAAGCUUUCUCAACAACUUUGAGAUUUUUUCUUUUCUUUUCUCGCUGACACAUCUUCCGUUGGCAUCAACAGCACUGUGGAAGCAACCGGUGAUAUCUUAAGUCGACAUAGAUAGCUCUGUCAUCGUAGAAUCAGUCGGUCUCGCAGUAUCUUCUGUUGGCAUUAACAGCACUGCGGCGAGGACGGUUGGUUACCUAUCCAAGUCUCGAUCGAGAAGGAUUUCCGGAUCCUUAUUGAUUGAGGUCAUCUCAUUAGCCUCCUCGACGAAGUGAGGUGUUACAGUAUAUCGAGCUCGGUGCAUUGCACGUCGAGUUAUUUUAUGAUUGGGUAUUCCCAAGUGGGAUUUAGAGUUCGGCAUUCGGACGGCCGAACCACGUUCACCAUUAAAACUUAUAUUUGCUUUGAGUAUUUGUGCCCUUACACUUUGGUGUCGAUUCAGCGUGAGUUUGCUCUGACGAAUAACAUCACUGUGACUGAAUCCGACGUCGACGACUCGUGAACUUCGUAAGAAUAGUAACCUUGUCUUCAGGUUCAAGAACCCAAGAGGCCGAGACGAGUUCCUUCCUCGAUCGCAAUCGCAAGACACAGGAGUUAGUCGCGCACCCAACGCAACAUCAACAAAUUUACUCCUCGGCCAAGCUCGGCUGACGAGUUGGCACGCCCGCAUUCACCGAAGGACGUAGUUAGCUUAUAGAUUACUCGGCCUGCGCGCCACGUAGGCUUGGUAGUUUCUAGGGUCAACAGGCGCGCAUGCUGAGUAAUCUAUGAGCUAACUACGUUAUUCGGUUGAAUGCGGGGCGUGCCAACUCGUCGACCGAGCUCGGCCGAGGAGUAAAAUUUGUUGAUGUUGCGUUGAGUGCGCGACUGACUUCUGCGUCUUGAUAUUGCGAUCGAGGAAGGAACACGUCUCGGCCUCUUAGGUUCUUGAACCUGAAGACAAGACUACUAUUCUUACAAGCUCACAAAUUGUCGUUGUCGGAUUCGGCCACAGUGAUGGUAUUCGUCAGAGUAAACUCUCGCCGAAUCGACACCAAAGUGUAAGGGCACAAAUACUCAAAGCAGAUAUGUGUCUUAACAAUAAACAUGGUUCGGCUGUCGGAAUGCCGAACUCUAAAUCCCACUCGAGAGUAUCCAAUCAUAAACCAACUCGGCUUGCAAUGUGCCGAGCCUAAUAAACUGUAACACCUCACCUCGCCGAGAAGGCUAAUGAGAUGACCUCGACCAAUAAGGAUUUAGAAAUCCUUCUCGACCGAGACUUAGAUAGGCAACCAACCGUCCUCGCCGCAGUGCUGUUGAUGCCAAUGGAAGAUGUUGCGAGAUCGGCUGAUUCUACGGCGACAGAGCUGUCUAUGCCGACUGAAGAUAUCACUGGUUGCUUUCACAGUGCUGUUGAUGCCAACGGAAGAUGUGUCAGCGAAAAGAGAAAAUAAAAAAUCUCAAGUUGUUGAGAGAGUUUGCGCAUGGCAGUUACGUAUUGAAUUGGAGGAGCCUUUACUUGCUGCAACUGCCUCUGUAUUUAUAAUUCACCAGUAACCCUAAGAUUGCCGUCGUAAGUUGCAAAAUAAUAGGAAUUUUCUCUUUCAAAUAUGCAUGAUCCCGUUUGGCGUGGCCUGGAUGAUUUUGUAGAAACCAACUGAAACUCAACUCUCAAAAGCCUACACCUACUUAAAGUUCUUAUUGUUCCAAAUAUCCAUGCUGAAUGAAUCUAGCUCCAUAAAGAAAACAUAAAAUGGCCCAACAUACAAAAGCAUAUACCAAUAUGCUAAAUGAUUUAGUAUAAAAUACCCAUUGUUAAUUGUUAGCAAGGCAGUUGCUGCCAUCUUAUCACCAACACGUGUAGACUCAUUUUCAAAACACAUCACCUAUUUUUACUUCACCCUUAUCACAUGCAUGCAUAUCUGUUGAGCAAAACCAAUCCAAACCACAUCCAUACGCCAAACAUCCAAAUCAUUUUGGAUUGUGCUGCUUGUUUCCAGCUUAGGGAUACAUUUUCCCUCUUUCAUAAGAAGAUGUUGAGAUAAAUUAUUAAAAGAUAAUUAUGAUAAAAACGAUAACUUUAAAAGUCAUUAUCUUUUAAUAAUGACCUUUAUUUUUUUGAUCCAACAGUCGGGAGCUAUGUUCACUCAACGGCCUUGAUUUCACAGGCCGAUAGUGUAAAUUUGGGUCCAAACAAAGAUAUAGUUAGUAUUUAGUUUAAGAAAUAUUGUUCAGUUUAAGAAGUAGUCAAUGUUCUGUUUAAGAAAUAGUAUUCAGUUUAAGAAGUAGUCAAUGUUCUGUUUAAAAAGUAGUCAAUGUUCUGUUUAAGAAAUAGUGACAAUAUUAAUGUUCAUAUAACUGAAUAAUGAAAAUUUUCUUUAUUUUUGAUCUUGUAAUAUUAUUACUUAGUUUGUUCUAAAACAAUUGAAAGAAUAGUCAAAUAAUAAAAUAAAAAUAAGAAAUAAAAUUGUUUGUGGAGUGAGGUGAAAGGAGAGAGAAGAGUGGGGAGAGGUUAAAAAAAAAAAAGAUGAUGUGGAUGGGUGAGGUGAAGGGAAAGAGAAAAAUUGAUGGGAAUAUAUGAAUGAGGGAGAGAGAGAGAGAGAAAGAGAUUGAUCGGUUAAGUGAGAAAAAGAGUGUAUGUGUGUGAUGUGAUGCGCGGUUCCGCGUGUUGAUGCAUGUUUUUUAUUUUUAUGUAAACUUUUUGUCAUUUUCAUUAAAAUUUGAACAUUUUUUUAUAUUAAAGUUUAAACCUUUUUUAUUAAAUAAAGUUAGUCGAUAAUUUUUAGUUAAUUAAAAGUUUUGAGAAGCCAUUUUCAUUAAAACUCCCUAGUAAAUAAUGAGAUGAAGAGCUCAACCCCUCUUCCUCCCUUCAUUUUCCUAUUCCUACCCCAACCCGAAUUCUCCCUUCCCCCUUCUCACUCUUUUCUCCGAUUUAUCUCGCCUUUGUCCCCUCCACACACACACCCCCCCCCCCCAUCCAAAAAAAAAAGGAACUUUAACGAAAAGCUUUCAGUACUGUUCACUUUAACGAAAAACCACAUUUUUACACUAAAAAGUCAAUCCUGCUACUAUUUACUUUACCUUUUAUUUUGUCUUUACCAUUAAAACUCAAAAUUUUCAAACCCUUUUCAUUAGUUUUUCUAAAAAAAAAAACUCUCAAAAAACUCUUUCCAUCCCUUUUUCUCUUUCUAAUUUUCAAUUGCAAUAGAAAAUGUGGUUAGAAUUUUCAAUUUUAAUGUUAUUGUGUUGAAUAUAAUUAAAUUUGGGCGGGGAGAUAGAUAGAGAGACAGGAAUAAAAGGGAGGAAGAAAACAAGGGCAGCAUAUGUAAGAAAAAGAGGUGCCACCAGCGCAGGUUGUGCCUGAUUUAUUGCGAUGGCUGGGGUGGGUGGCGUUAUUUUUAUUUUUUCAUUCUUUUUGUUUUUACUUUUUUUUGGUUGUUGUUGAGUUUUUCAGUCUUUUUGUUUUCACUUUUUACAUCUUAAGCUAGUAGGGAUAGUUAGGGAAUAAUGGUGGGUUGGAAGAUAGUUAGAUUUUUUUGUAAAUUUUAGGGUGGGUGAAAUUAUAAUGUGGGUGGGAAAAUAAGAUAAUGAGGUGGGCCUAGUAUCACUCUUUUUUUUAUACGAGCGAUAGUGGGGGAAGGGGAGUUGGAUUCUCGUAUGCAAGGAUGUAUAUUUUGACCAACUAAGUUGCAUGUCAUUUGCUAUCAUAACAGAACCACGAGUAUUUUAAUGAUCUUAUAUAACCCGAAUAACUUACUCAUUUUGUAAAGUCAUCUCCAACCUAAGGAGCUAAACAUAGCCCUGUCUAGAAUUAUAGGCCUGCAAAAAAAUAUUUUUAAAUGAAUAUUGUCAGGCCAUAUUCAUAUACCAUCUCCAACCGAAUUUUAAGUUUGUAAUAAUUUUUCGAACAUUCUAUCCAUUUAAUGUCUCCUUUAAGCCUUUGUCAAGGCUUGAUGCCAUUUGUUCAACCUCGGUUAAAGUUGUUUUUCCAUUAGGGGACUCACAUUAUUUUUCGAACAUACUAGUCCAAGGCCUUCACUUGAUUGACAAAUACCCUUGACACUAUCUUCAGAGAUCUACCUAUAAGCCCUGGAAAGAGCUUCAUCUUCUUUUGGGUCCAACCUUUUCCUUUGGUUGAAAAUGUAACCAUUUAAAAAAAUAAUGGAAGAUGUAAGCUAGAAAUUCUAGUCAUUUAUGCAGCUAUCAAUGGAUGAUGGAAAAACCAGCUAGCUCGGAUGCUAAGAAACAACGUAAGAGAAAACGUCUUGACAAACAGUUAUUUCAGACCUACGUUAAAAGCUUUCGACAUAAACAGAAAUUCAGACUCGUGUAGAGGAAUUGAUCCGAAAAGGUGUUACAACACUAAGGUGCUCUUAGCUCCUGAUCAUUGGCACUUAGUACGAACAACUACCUUAGCACUACAUUUUGACUUUCUGAUUGGAGUUUAACACAAGUAGAUCGUUACCUAGGGCAGAUGCUGGAAAACAAGGUGGUUAAAAGAGUUCUUGCUCCAAAAAAAGAAAAAAAAAAGUAGUUCUUACCUUCUUGUACGAGUAGUGAAGAACUAUACAGAGCUGUGGGUUGGUUGUUGACCAAGGGAAAGCAUGGGAGAAAAAAGGAGAGUGUUGCGGAAGCCCCAAUCCUUAAUAUACCUUGAUCGAUAACACCAAAGUUAUUGGAAGGGUAAUAGAGGUGUGUGUAUGAAAAGAGUGUUUGAGGUGAAUAGAAUGUGAAAAAUUGGAUUAAAAUGAGGUAAUAUGGUAGACAAGGGUGAGAAAUAGUGUACAAAUGUGAUAGGUAUUUAUAGGAGGGUGUUGCGGAAACCCUAAUCCUUAAUAUACCUUGACCUGUAACCCUCAAAGUUAUUGGAAUGGUGUUUGGAUCCGAUUUUACACCAUCGGCCUGUGCAAUCAAGGUCGUCGAGUGAGUAUGGCUCCCAACCGUCGGAUAGAAAGAUAAAGAUCGUUUUGUUAUUAUUAAAAGAUAAUGUUAUGAUUUUUAUCAUAAUCUUUUAAUAAUAAUGUAUUAUGAGAGAUCUCCAAGCUGGGAAUACGGUGGCAUAAUUCAAGUCGAUCUGGAUGUUUGGCGUAUGAAUAUGUGGAUGGGAUCAGUGUGGAUGAUUAGUAUGCUGCAAAUUGCUUAUUAUAUAUUUAAAUAUGGAUAAACAUUUUGGUAUAGGUGCCAGGAAUUAGCAUCCCGAGGUGGUGGUUUAAAUGAGGUUUGAAAAGUCAUGGUGAAUGGAGCAGAUAAAUAUGGAUGCAGAUGGGAUAAUUAUCAUUUAAAGUAUACAUGGGAUAUGCCUAUUUGAUGUUGUGGUUUUGGUCACGUGGUGUGCUUUUUGGGAUUAUUGUUAUCCGUGCAUGGCUACACAUGGAUCGAUGUGAUGGAAAUUGAGUUCUUGUUGGACUAGGAGUCUGAAGCGGAGUCAGAGGAUGAUAGUAUCUGAAGGAUAUGCUUUCAUUUACUUUGAGAGAAGUCAUUGACGCUAGUGAGUUUGAGUUGAAAUCAAAUACUAACGUGAAGCAGCGCCACAUAACAUUUUCUCCUAUAAAUACAAGACACCAUGCAACUAUUCAAAGCCUCCCAAUUCAACACACAAUUGCUCUGCACAAAUUCUCUCAACAACCUUGAGAUUUUUUCUUUUUUCUUUUCGCCGACACACCUUCAGUUUGGAUAAACAGCACUGUGGAGACAACCAGUGAUAUCUUCAGUUGGCAUAAACAACACUGUCGUCGUAGAAUCAGCCGAUCUCGCAGCAUCUUCAGUUGGCAUAAACAGCAUUGCGUCGAGGCUGACUGGUUACCUAUCCAAGUCUCGGUCUUGAAGGAUUUCUGAAUCCUUGUUGGUCGAGGUUAUCUCAUUAGCCUUCUCGGCGAAGUGAGAUGUUACGAGUUACUACAUUCGGCACAUUGGAAGCUGAAUUUGAUAUUGAACUUCGCUAAGUUAGUAGCCUUGUCUUCAGGCUCUAGAACCCAAAGGCCAAGACAAGUUCCUUCCUCGGCCACAAUCGCAAGACGCAGAAGUCAGCCGCGCACCUAACGCAACAUCAACAUAUUUUACUCCUCGGCCUAGCUCGGUCAACGAGUUGGCACGCCUCGUACACAACCGAAGGACGUAGUUAGCUCAUAGAUUACUCGGCUUGCGCGCCUGUAGGCUUGGUAGUUUUUAGGGUCAACAAAUAGUAAGAGAGGUGUGUGUAUGAAAAGAGUGUUUGAGGUGAAUAGAAUGUGAAAAAUUGGAUUAAAAUGAGGUAAGAUAGUAGAUAACGGUGAAAAGGAUGUGAGAAAUAGUGUACAAAUAUGAUAGGUAUUUAUAGGAGGGUGUUGCAGAAGCCCUAAUCCUUAAUAUACCUUGAUCGGUAACCCCCAAGUUAUUGGAAGGGUAAGAGAAGUGUGUGUAUGAAAAGAGUGUUUGAGGUGAAUAGAAUGUGAAAAAUUGGAUUAAAAUGAGGUAAGAUGGUAGGUAAGGGUGAAAGGGAUGUGAAAAAUAGUGUACAAAUGUAAUAGGUAUUUAUAGGAUUUUUUUUUAUUUUUUAAAUUUCGCCUGAAAAACGAAAAAGAAUUCCAACGGCUAGCAAGCGUCAGCUAGCCGUUACCAGAUAACACCAUUGCUCUGUUGUUCCUAGCCCAACCGUUGGAUGCUUUUAAAUCCAACUAUUGGAUUUAAAUCAAUUAUUGAAGCAUGGCAGCUCGGCGUUGGGAAACGGGUUGGAAGAUAGGUUGCAGUUAGCCUGCCCGAUGCCUUUUGGUCAAAUAAUGGUCUGGUCGGCUCCAUAGAUUUAUAAGCUAGCCAUCCAUUGGAGAUGAAUUUUUUGUUAAAUUAGGUCAUUUUUUGGGUUUUAGACCUUUAACCCUCUUCAUUGGAUAUGACCUAGUUCGUUUGAUAUAUCACUUUGUCAUGAAAAGGACUUAUAAGCAAUGGGUUCAGUGUGGCGUCAUGUUCUAAUAAAACAAUGACAUAUAUAAGAUUUUCAACACAUGCAUGGACGACACGUACCCCAUUAACUCCUAAAUAAAUUGCUCUCCCUUGUUAUAUUAAGACUUACAAUUUUGGUGAUUAAUAGAAUCUAUGCUUCUAUAUAUAGUAAGUAGCCAUUGCAUUCAUAGCGAGUGAUACUCGAGAAAAACCUUUUUAUCCCAGUGUCGCUGCCAGAGAAAUAUAGUAAGUGACACCGGAGAUAUCUAUUUUUACAAACAUGAACCCUACAAUUGGUGAUUAGCUUAACGUUUUGGUUUAUUUCAUUUGACCUAUUCUUACUAACAAAAGUCCUCAAAUUAUUAUAAGAUAGCUUUGUUAGCUAUAUGCCAUCACUUUCAUUUUACUUUUUUCUUUUGUAUACAAGUGAAAUCAUAUAGUGGGUCAAAUUUUCGUUGGAAUAAUAAAUGCUUUUGAUCAAACGAGCUACAUGACUGUCAUUUAUGCAGUUUACUUGAAAUAAAAAACUUCUGUAGAACAGUAAAACCACAUAUAUCUUGAGGGUCUUAAUUAACCCAAUAAUCUCGCUCAUUGUGUGAGUUGCUUUGAUAUAUCACUCCAUGUCAUAUUAUACAAUUUUGGUAAUUAAAAGGAUCUUUACUUCUAUAUAUAGUCACCCUUGCAUUUUCAUAGUGAGUGGCAUUAAAGAAAUUUGUGUGUCCCGGUGGCACUGUAGAGAGAGAGGAAGAAGAGGGCAGUGACACCGGAGCAAGGACAUACUACAAACAUGAACCCUACAAUUGGUGAUUAGCUUAACAUUUUGGUUUAUUUCAUUUGACCUAUUCAUAGUGACAAAAGUCCUCUUGUUUGCUUGGAUGAUUGGCUCUCUCACCUAAUAUGCAAGUUAUGCGAUGCAUAUGGAGCUCUAAACCCUAAUGCAAAACAAAGACUUCCAAGUAAAUGAAUAUCACUCCGAUUGCUUUUUGACGUUGACGUGCUGCAGGGAAAGAUGCGAUGAUGAAUGUGCUUGAUUGCUUUUUUACUCUGCCAAUAGUAUGUGUACGACUGUCAUAUUUUUCUCUAAUGCUUGACGACUUUCUAGAUUGAAACCAGAGUAUAAUUUGAUUACCAAUACCAUACCUCUGAGCAAGGACAGGAUGGUCAUUUUGUUAGUCAACGAGAAUCGCCAUUGUUAUUUUGGGUCAGGGUGGAGGAAACAUUGUCUCCACUUGCAGCUGAGAUUGCUUCCAUUACAUUAUUGAACACUGGUGGUAUGGUGCAGCAGAGAAAGGCAAUGGCAGCAGUACCACUGCCAUAUAUCCUACAAAAUGGUGGACGUGCUGGACGAGUGGAACACUGACGUGCUGAAACAAGAAGUUGAGCAGCACGAACGAGAAGCUGACAAUGUUGAUCCUAAGAGCAAGAAGAAGAAGCUAACUUUCUGUGUCACCCCUAGUUGCUUUUGUUUUCGAAAAGCAAGAGAGGUAACUUGAAUGAGAGGUUGUGUGUGAUUAAUUGAUGAGCAAAGAAGAAACGCUCUUGUGUUUCAACCCAAUGAGAACGAUAUUCAACAAGUACCUAAACAACAAGAGACUUCUCCCUUUGUCGACAUGUCUAAGGUGUUUGGCCGAGAAAACGAAAAAGAUAUGUUUUGAUAACAAAGUUGUUAAUUGAUGGUAGAGAAGAUAGGGUGAUCCUUAUCAUCCCUAUUAUUAUGAUGCCAAUGUUGACGCCUGUUUGAUAAGAAAAUAUUGGUUUGUGUACCCUUUUUAUGAGAUUAAGAUUGCCGAGCCAUAAGCCGUGAUAACACGCCUAGUUCAAAUGAUCAGUUGAGCCAUGUCUUAGAAUCUAUGUCAACAUCCAUCGACGGCAAGAGGUUUCUCAUUGUCCAAGAUGCCGUGUGGACCUAUGACCAUGAAAAGUGGGACCAGUUAAGGGUAUCACUUAUUUAAAGUGGUGUUAAAGGCAUUAGAAUAUUGGUAACCACAAGACAACGAGAUGUUGUAGAUAUAAUGAGAGCAACAAGUGACAAAGAUGGAAUUUGUCUACUUUGUUUUUUCCCUUGCAUCUUUGUUACUCUUACUUUUUUGUUAUUGAUCAUUCUGGGAGAGCUGAGUAAAGACUAUUGUUUUUAAUCUUCAACCACAUGGUGUUUUUUUCUAGGCAAGUAGAUGAGUUUAAGGCGUUUGAAGAGAUUAGUAAAAAAAUGGUAGAUAUAUGUAAAGGUUUGCCUCUCACCGCGAAAGAUUUAGGCAAUCUCAUGUGCAACAAAUGAGUGAAUGACUAUUUAUCUUGAAUAGUAAGAUAUGGAAUUGAAAAGAGAUGGAGCAAAAAGUUUUCCAACCACUAUUUCUAAGUUCUUAUGAUUUGGUCAACAGUCAAAUAUUGUCUUUCAUGUUGUGCUAGUUUUCUUAAAGAUUAUGAGUUUGAUAGAGAUAACUUAGCUAAUAUAUAGAUGUCGCAAGAUUAUUUUAAUUCAAAAUAGAAUAAAGAUAAGAAAGAAAUUGGUCAAGCAAUUUUUCAUAACUUAGUAGCAGAGUCUUUUCAAGAUUUGAUGAAAGAUAGUGUUUUACCAUUAUAGGUUGCAAAUUGCAUGAUAUUAUUCAUGACUUUGUGCAAUCACUCACUAAUAAUGAAUGUUUGAUCAUCAACAUUGAGGGUGUUAUAGAGGUUUUGGAUGAAAAGGUUUGCAUUUGAUCGUAAUAAUGGCAUCAAACAAUUGCCGACUUUCACCUUCUAAUGCUUAUUACAAUGAUGAAAUAGUUAAAUAAUCUUUAUAUUACGUAAAUCUUAACAAUAAUGAUUUAAAAAAUGAACGGCUGAGUUUAUCCACGAGCUUAAAUUAUUCUAUAACUUUUCAUUUUGGGUGUAGUGGGCUAAGGUCGUAUUAGGGGGAGGGGAUAAAGUGCUUCUGUGCUUGUCCUAACUUUUGGCUUCAGGUUAAAGUGCUUGUGAAAUAAGUCAUUUUGCUGCUUCUUAGGCCUGGUUUGGUACUGAGAUGAUUCUGAAAAAAGCUGGUAUCAAAAAAAGCUUGGAGCUUUUUUUGUGUUUGGUAAACAUUCAGCUUCAGCUUUUUUUCAAAGUUUUGGAUGAAAAAAAGCCAAAAACAAGAAUCUGCAAAACCCAGCUUUGAAAAACCGGUUUUUUUUCACUUCUGUUUUACAUAAAAGUUUACCAAAUACUAUAAUACUGUUUUUUUUUUUUUCAAAAGCAUUUUUACAAAAAAGUUUACCAAAUACUCUACAGCUUUAUUUCACAGCCGCUUAUUCUCACAGCACAACAUAAGUAGUUUUUUUUCAAAGCACAUAAAUAUCAAAUCAACCCUUAGCCACCUAUCAUUAGCUGGCCGUCCCUAAAGAGGGCACUUGCGACGACUUCUGAAGUCUUCAAAGAAAACAGAACCACAGAAACACCACAUGUAGAAUUAUCCUCUACUUUUGUCCUAUUAUUUGAAUUGACAUUUUUGUGUUCAAAGUUUAAGACUAGAAAAUCCAUGCGAUUGAAAAGGGAUUCGGACUCUUAGUUUAUGUUAGGUGGACUAGUAAAAUGGACUAAUGGGAUUGUAUGGUUUAAAAUGAGUGAUCCAGACUCCGGAGCUCCAGACACAAAUUUACAGAGGAUCUCAAUUCCUAUUAUUUAACUUCAUAUGAACAAAUUAUUUACAAUUUCCAUCAAAGUUUAUACAAAUUAACAUUGACCAAUGGAACAACAAUUUGCUCAUUCAUCGAGCCAGUCCAGAUCGAAAUGUUUCUCCACCCCCUGAACAUGAAGCUCCGGCAAUGCCUUCUCUGCAUCUCUCCACAUCCAAGAAAUAUCCUCGUCGCACACUACACGGCGCAGAGACUGUAACGCUGCAGCGGAUUUCGGCAGAUUGCUAAUUUGUGAACAUUCCCUUCAUGUCAAUCUUUUCCAAACUUGCUAGCUUACCAAUUUCCAUGGGAAGGCAUCUCAAAUUUACACAUUGGGAAAUGUCAAUGUAUUUCAAACGAAGUAGCUCGCAAAUGCUGCGCGGAAGCGUCUGCGGUGCCGGACAUGCGUAUAGCCUUAGGAUCUAUAGAGAUUGCAACUUUCCCAAAUCAUCUGGGAGCUGGUAUAGGCAGUUGGUUACGCUCAAGUUCUUGAGCGAAGGCAUUGCGCAAAUGCACGAAGGCAGCUGGAAUAAGUCAUCGCAAUGAUCAAUCGUGAGCUCUGUGAGCCGAGGAAAGGCCGAGUGAUCAAGGCUAUUACUGAUCUUGCAUAGGAUUAUAAAAAUUUUCCUCAGAUAUUUCAGGGGUAUGGUAGAUAAUUGAGGGACGGAUACUUUUUCGAGCCAGAAGCCUCUCAAGUUGGAUAAAUUUGGGAAGACUGAAAAGCCACCUAGGAUGGCAUUCGAUGUACUGUAAUUCAUGAUUAUCAGGCAAUCUUCAAUCGAUGGCCGGCCAGAUGACUCGUUUUAGCCAUCUGGCCCUCCAAGAUUCUCCAAGAUAUUAAUAUUUUAAUAAACAGUACAUGGUCAUAUUUGCCUCCGUCUCCAACAGAGGGUCAGAGGGCCAGAGGGCUCGUUUUAGCCAUCUCACAAAAAACCGUCUCCAACGGAGGGCAAAAGGCUAAACAUAAUUUAUUAUUUAAAUUUAAAAACUACAACUUAAAUUUAAAAACAACAAUAACUUAAAUUUAAAAACUACAACUUAUAUUUAAAAACUACAACUAAAAUUUAAAAAUGACAAAUUAAAUUUAAAAACCACAACAACUUAAAUUUAAUAUCCAUAAUCAUUAUUAUCUUCAUCAUCCACCAUCGUAGGAGUAUAGUCUGUCACAAACAACUGCCGUCGGCUCAUAAUUUCUUUUUUUUUUCCUAUCAAAAUAGGCCUUACUCAUUGGAGUAUAAUUCGAAGUGUUCAUUUCCAUAUUCUUAUCAUCUAUCUCUUCUUGUAUUUGCUUGGCCCGUUUUUCAUGCCUACACUUCCUUUCUUCCGCCUUAAGGGCAUUUUGCUCCGCCAAUAAUCGCAAUGAGGCCGCUACUUCAUGUUGAGCGGCGUAAUCAGCAUUUGUCUUGCCUUUUUCCCUCAACCUUCGGGCCUUGUUUCGUCCCAUAGCCCUAGGUAAAGAACUUUCGGACAGAGUUGGAUUUUCUACCCUUAUUUGUUGAAUGGUAGGAGAUUCAUCUUCAUUCAUAGCUACAGAUGGGGAUGCAGCUCCCAAAUGAUCCACUCUAUGUUGAGGUGAAUCUUCAAAUAACACCCACCCUUUACAAAUUUCCCAAUAACCGUGAAAUUGAAAGGGUUUUGAGCUGCCCUCCAUAUACAAUUCCUCCGCUUGGCGUACCUAGAAAAUAUAAUUACAAAAAUUUUAGGAAAUUAAUUCAUUAAAUUAAAUGUAAUAUAAUGACAUAUAAUUACAAAAAUUAAAUGUAAUAUAAUUAAACAUUUAAAAUAAACUGUGAAAACACUAACUUCGUCAUAGUAAUUGGCGCCGCUUUCAAGUCUACUUGCGGCUGCUAAUAGUGCUUGAUGCCAUUUAUUCAAACUUGGAUGAAGAUGUUUCUUCCAUCUUGAAGAACAACUUUCGUGGUUUCAGGUAUUCGGUGGAAUGGUGCCUUCGUAGAACUCUAUGUAUUUUUUGAUACACGAGUCCAAACACCUUCACUUGUUUGAGAAAUCCCCCUCACACUAUCUUCUGAGACCCAUCUAUAAGCCUUGCAAAGAGCUUCAUCUUCUUUUCGGGUCCAAUCCCUACCUUUCAUUGUAGAUGAGGCCUUUUUUUUGAAAAAAAAUGAAGGAAAUUAUUGAAAAAUUGAAACAAAUAUUAUAGAUGAAGGAAAUAUUGGAAAAUAUAUUGAAGGAAAUAUUGAAGGAAAUAUUGAGAAAUAAAUUGAAGGAAAUAUUGAGAAAUAUAUUGAAGGAAAUAUUGAACAAUAUUGAAGGAAAUAUUGAACAAUAUUGAAGAAGGAAAUAUUGCAAAUGAAGUGAAGAAUUGAAAGAACUUCACCAUAUUUAUAGAAGAAAAGAAAUGUUUAAAUGAAAAAAAAAAAACCCAAUGGCUAGCUGACUCAGCUAGCCAUUAUAUUAAAAAAAAAUUCAAACUAUUAAUGUCGGUUAUAACCGACACUAAUAGUAAAUAAAUUUUUUUUUUUGCCUAUGAAUACCUAUUACUGUCGGUUAUAACCAACAACAAUAGGAAAACUAUAAAAAAAAAAAAUAAAAAAAAAAGCCAGCCAGCAGCCAGCCCUUUGGCCCUUUGAAAUUCCGUGGGGCCCUCCCAGAUUCCCGAGCCCUCUGGCCUAACCCUCGGUUGGAGACGGUUUUAGGGUUAUUUUCGGCCCUCUGACCCUCUGGACCCUUUGGACCCUUCGGUUGGAGAUGACCUUAAUGCCCUCAACUUUGGCAUGUUUGCAAUGAAAUGAGGCAUAAGGUACUUGUCGUCGGAUGAAAAAUUCAAAAUCAGCACUUCACAUUUAGGAAACUCUAUCUGGAACCAGUCCAUCUCUUUCAUUUCACCUGCAUAAUCAAGUGAUGAAUCGGUUUAAAUCAGCACGAAAGAGUAAACAUAAGGAAUAACCUCAUAAUUGAUAAAUGCAAUUACUGAAACAUGUUAAUACCGGUAUGAACUGAUACAAUCAUCGCCUGAAAUGGCUGAUCGGAAUCCCUCUCCCAUUCUCUUGGAAGUUCAGUCUCUCUUCUUGGCAUAAGCAAUCGACUGCGUUUGUUCACGCUGCCAUCAUUGCUCAAAUGAAAAGCAAGGUCCCUCGGCACAUCAUGCUGUGUAACAGAUAUGUCGUAGCAACUGCUAUAUAUGUCUCCAUCUCUGCAAUAUCAAUAUAUACAAAGGGUUCAAAUCAGAAACUAAUCACACUCAAAUAAAAUAAACAAAGUACCGAACUUUAAGCAUCGUACCUUGCAUCUUUCACCAGGGUGAGGAGAUUUUUGUUCGAAUGCUCGACAAGAAUAGCAAACGCUUCUUCUUCGUCGAUGCCAUGUAUUUCAACCCACAUAUUGGUAAGAACAUCAAGAGGGAUCUUCUUGUCUUCUGGAAAUGCACCCAAAUCGAAGAAACAUGAUUUAACUUUUUUGGAUAAGCUGUCGAGACUCGUUACCAUCCGUUGAAGUAGAUUGUUCUCAUGGGACUCACAAAAUGCUUCCCCUUUCGACAACUUGCUCCUUGCAUUUGCCCAACACAAUUCUGGCUGGUCUUUCAAUGAAGCUCCAAUCACUUUGAGAGCCAAAGGUGUUGCGAGUUAUAUAUUAGUUAAAGUGUAAAUAGUAGUUUAUUGUUCCACAUUGGUGAAGUACAUAUGUAAUACCAAUUGUAACUCCUAUAUAUACUCCACUUUGGAGAUUAAUGAAUAUAUAAGAAAUUCCCAAAUAUUGUCAUAUAUAUUUUUGGUAUUUAUCAUGUUUAGUUUAAUAUUGGUAUUUACCAUGUUUAGUUCAAUAUGGUAUCAUAGCAGUUCGCUCUUGGUGACCUGUGUGCUUUAAUUUUGUGCCCAUAUUUUUCGUGAUUUCCUUCGUGAAAAAAAAAAAAUUGAAUAGUGUCGCGCUACAGUACAAUGCGUGAACAGUAGUCUGCUUUGUGAACAGUGGUCAUCUACAGUGCCAUGUACAGUGAUUGCUACAGUACCGUGAAUAGUGCUCUGCUGCAAUGCCGUGAACAGUCUGCUGCUACAGUGUUCUGGUAAAUUAUUUUCAUUCCGCUGCGUAUCUUUUGUGCCUUUAUUGUUCGUGAUUUUGUUCAAUGGCUCAAUAUAAUCAUCGUGUUGUUAUGCAUCUUGGUGGAACAAAUAAAUGGAUAAUUGAUACUGGGGCCACUGAUCAUGUGACUAGUGACCUUAGAGUGUUUGAUGAGUUAUGUGACUAUGUUCGUGAUCCGUAUAUUACUAGUGCAAAUAGAGCACAUUCCCCUGUGAAGGGUAAAGGCACUAUCUCUUUGACUCCAACCUUAUCAUUAGUCCGUGCUUUACUUGUCCCUGAUGUUAAGUGCAAUCUUUUGUCGGUAGGAAAACUUCUUGAUACCUUAUAUUGUUCUGCUCACUUCUACCCUACGUAUUGUUAUUUUCAAGAUAUUUAAACUCAGAAGAUAAUUGGUCAUGGUAAAAGAAUAGGGGAUUUGUACAUCUUGACUAUGGAGGAUACUGUUGUUUCUGGUUCAAAUAAUCAUCAAGUUUUAAGUGCUAAAGUGGAUGACAGACAUCAAAUUUGGUUGUGGCAUCGACGAUUGGGACAUCCAUCAUUCAGUUAUAUGAAACAUCUAUUUCCUUCUUUGUUUCGCACUUGUAGUGAUUUGGAGUUCAAGUGUGAAACAUGUGUCAUGGCUAAGAGUCAUCGUGCUUCCUUUCUCGUAAAUGAUUCUAAAGCUACUUUACCAUUUGAUUUGAUACAUUCUGAUGUGUGGGGUCCGACGAAAGUUACUUAUAAUGGAUUCCUUUGGUUUGUUACUUUUAUUGAUGAUUGUACUCGGUUAACUUGGGUGUUCUUGAUGAAGAAUAAGAGUGAUGUUCCGUUACUUCUUCAAGAAUUUUGUACAAUGGUGUCUACUCAGUUCCAAACCAAAAUUAAGGUCUUUAGGUCUGAUAACGGAUGAGAAUAUGUGAAUCACACUUUGGCAUGUUUUUUUCGUGAUCAUGGUAUUAUUCACCAGACGACUACUCCAUUUACACCCCAACAAAAUGGUGUGUCCGAACGGAAGAAUCGUCAAAUAAUGGAGGUUGCUCGCUCCUUGAAAUGUGUUCCUAAUCAUUUGUGGGGCCAUGCUGUUUUGGCUGCUGUGUAUUUGAUCAAUCGUGUUCCGAGUAGGGUUCUUGAUUUUUAGACACUAUUUGAUGUACUACAAAAAUAUGUUUCUCUUGUUUCUGUAUCCAAGCUUCCUCCGAAAGUGUUUGGGUGUAUUGCGUAUGUGCAUGUCUACUCACAUCAGCGGAGUAAACUUGAUGCAUGUGCUCUCUGGUGUGUCUUUAUUGGGUAUGCUAACAAUAAAAAAGGCUAUAAGUGUUAUCAUCCUCCGACUCAAAAAACUUAUAUUACCAUGGAUGUCACCUUCCAUGAGGAAGUUUUGUAUUUUGUGAAGCCCUCUUCCGACUCUCCACUUCAGGGGGAGAGGGGGAGUGAAGUGCAUAUUCGAAGAGAUGGUAUGAAUGAUGUGUUACAGGCAAAGUUGGGAACAUAACCUAUUAUGUUGCGUGAUACUGAUCAGUCAACUACAGAUAGUGAUCGGUUACCUGUUAUUCCUGGAACUAUUUCUACUGACGAUAGAUCAGAUGUGCCCAGCGAGUUGCCUGUUAGUAUGUCUGACGAAUUACCUUCUGAUGAUCGGUUACCUGCUGUUGAUAUGUCUAACGAGUUGCCUGAUGAUGGUUCGUCCAGUGAUGAUUCUUCUAACAGUUUGGUACAAGAUGGUGGCAUACAUGAGGUAAAUUCUGACGAUUCUUCUACUUAUCAGUUGCCUCCACGAGCUAAUCGUGGAAAACCUAAAGUACAAUAUGAGCCUGAUAUGCAUGCCAAAGCCAAAUAUCCCAUCAACAAUUAUGUGUCUACUCAUCGUUUAUCCAAAUCAUAUGCAUCUUACAUAUGUCAGCUAUCUAGUGUAUCGAUUCCAACAAAAUUGCAAGAUACUUUGUCUGACCCUAAAUGGGUUAAUGCCAUGCAAGUUGAGAUGGAAGCAUUGGAAAAAAAAUUCUACUUGGGAUUUAGUUCCUUUACCAAACGGGAAGAAAGCCGUUGGAUGUAGAUGGGUGUUUACUAUUAAGCACAAAGCAGAUGGUUCUAUUGACCGGUAUAAAGCCAGAUUAGUUGCUAAGGGUUGUACUCAAACCUAUGGGGUAGACUAUCAGGAGACCUUUGCUCAUGUUGCCAAAUUUAAUACUGUGCGUGUUCUUCUGUCCUUAGCAGCAAACCAGGAUUGGCCUAUGUUGCAGUUUGAUGUUAAGAAUGCUUUUCUUCAUGGUGAUCUUAAGGAGGAAGUGUAUAUGGAUCUCCCACAUGGUAUUGGAACAUCUCCUGGAAAAGGUGUUGUAUGCAAGUUACGAAAGGCCUUGUAUAGUUUGAUACAAUCUUCUAGAGCGUGGUUUGGGAUGUUUACAAGUCCAAUGAAGAAAUUUAGGUAUAUCCAAAGUCAUUCAGAUCAUACUUUGUUUCUAAAGCGACAAAAUGCUAAGCUAACUGCAUUGAUUAUUUAUGUUGAUGACAUGAUAGUGACUGGUGAUGAUCAGAAGGAGAUACAACGCCUUCAAAAGUACCUAGCUACUGAGUUUGAGAUGAAAGAAUUAGGUGAAUUGAAGUAUUUUCUUGGAAUCGAGGUUGCAUGAUCCAAGCAUGGUAUUUUUCUGUCUCAACGGAAAUAUAUUCUUGAUUUGUUAGCUGAAACGGGUAUGUUAGAUUGCAAACCUGUUGAUACUCCGAUUGAGCAAAAUCAUCGUCUAGGCUUAUUUCCAGAUCAAGUUCAUACUCAUAAGGAACGAUAUCAGAGACUUGUGGGGAGAUUAAUUUAUUUGUCUCACACUCGCCUUGACAUUGCUUAUGCAGUUAGUGUGGUAAGUCAGUUUAUGCACUCACCUAGUGAAGCUCAUAUGGAUGCAGUAACCCAUAUUUUGAGGUACUUAAAGAUGGCUCCUGGUAGAGGCCUGGUUUUCUCUAAGAAUGGUCAUUUGAAUGUCAAAGGGUAUACAGAUGCAGAUUGGGCAGGUUACAUCACUGAUCGGCGAUCUACAUCUGGAUACUUUAUGUUUGUGGGUGGUAAUUUAGUUACUUAGAGAAGCAAGAAACAAAAAGUGGUGGCUAGGUCAAGUGCAGAAGCUGAGUUUCAUGCUAUGUCGCAUGGUAUAUGUGAGUUGUUGUGAUUGAAAAAAUUGUUGAGAGAUCUUGGGUUUAACUCCAAAGGUGCUAUGAAACUUCAUUGUGAUAACAAGGCUGUUAUUGAGAUUGCUCAUAAUCCAGUGCAACAUGAUCAAACAAAACAUGUGGAGAUUGAUCGACAUUUCAUUAAGGAAAAAUUGGAUGCUAGAAUUAUUAUGUUUCCGUUUGUGAGAUCUGAAGAUAAACUUGAUGAUGCUCUUACUAAGGCUGUGUCUAAUAGUGUGUUUUCCAACUCGCUUGACAAGUUAGGCAUGCGUGACAUCUUUGCACCAACUUGAAGGGGAGUGUUGUGAGUUAUAUAUUAGUUAAAGUGUAAAUAAUAGUUUAUUGUCCCACAUUGGUAAAGUACAUCUGUAAUACCAAUUGUAACUCCUAUAUAUACUCCACUUUGGAGAUUAAUGAAUAUAUAAGAAAUUCUCAAAUAUUGUCAUAUAUAUUUUUGGUAUUUACCAUGUUUAGUUUAAUAUUGGUAUUUACCAUGUUUAGUUCAAUAAAAGGAAGCCGCUUACACUCAUUAACAAUCUAAAUUUCAAGAAAACAAUUAGUUGCCGAUGUAAGGAAACAUAAAAUAACCCAUUUUGAUUAGCAGAAAAUGGAGACUGGAGGCUUGCGACCAUGUUUGGCGGUAUAACUUAGACCAAGUAAGUUCUAAAAUUUCCCAUCUAUUCCCCCCCUCAUUUCAUUUCAACCCUUGUUCUAAAAUGGGGUAAGUCUUAAAACUUAAAAAAAAGCCAAAUUCCGGCCAAAAUUUAGGCCAACGUUAGUGGUGAAGCCCACAUGUGAGAGUGAGAAACGACAAAUGAAAUUCACCCACUAGGCGAGGGUGCACGCCAAGCCCAGCAGGUCACCCGACACACCCGUGGGCUUGCUGCCCGCUUGUUGCCAUGCAAUCAUGAGCCUAACCCACUUGUUGCCAUGCAAAUAUGAGCUUAACGGCUCUAUUUUUAUCGUGCGGUCUGAUUUAAACAGACUGUUGGUUUAUUCAACAGCCUGCGUUUAAUUUUUUUUAGUGUUUUAUAUUUCUAUAUUUAUUGAAUCCAAGAGCUGUGAUCGACUAUAAUCAAAUUUAACUGUAAAAAAAAAAAAAACAAAGAAGAUCUAAUUUCCUAAAUUUAAAUCCAAAGGCUAGAAUAAUUAAAAAAAAUUAUUUAUCUCAAAAUUCACCCAAAAACUCUAUAAAUACCUAUGUAUUUGUUCAAACAUCCACACAAAACUCACUUUUCUUAUAUAAUUCUUCCAAUUUUUCUAUCUACCAUCUUCCAAAACCAUUUGUAUUAAUCAUGGUUUAUUAAUGAUCCGAUAUAGUGAUUUGUUCAUAGUGUUUCAUGAGUUUCAUGUGUCAAUUUAGUAAUUUUUAAUAUUUAUCGGAAUUUAAAUAUUUUUAAGUUAAAAUGUUCAUAAAAUUAAUUUAGAAUAGUCUACGUAAUUUUUUAAAGUUAAUUAAAAAAUAGUCUAAAUUCAUUCUUUAAUAAUCUAAGGCUAAAAAUUUAGACUAGAAGGGUUGGAGCAGAAAAGUUGUUUCUGGGUCAAAACCUAAAUUUUCUAGGCUAAAAUUUUUUAGUUUUAACCCAAGAGGAGAUAGUCCUAUAGAAGUGAUUGUGCAUUAUAGAAGCACUUUCUAGAGGUUUUCAAAGAAGCAAUUGUAUUCUAGCAAAAGCGCUUAAGAUUGUGCCUGCUUGACCAAAUUUUUAUCAGUCGCAGGAGGAAUGGAGUUUUGGCCAAAAGCAGAGUAACAAAACAGAGAGAGUGCUUCUUCUUCCCUCAACAACUGCACAUCAUAAGUGGCAUCGAGAACGGUUGGGAAUUUGAAACGUGAGACAACAAGAAACUUCCAGCCCGGGAUUUUAAGGAGCAGCGGCACAAGUACUGCCACUGACCACACAUCAUCCAAAACCACCAGAGUUCUCGUUGCGGUGAUCCACUCGUACUGCAAGUUCCAUCUGGACACUGUGAUACUCAGGAACAGAAUUCUCUCGCUGAAAUAAGCUGCAUUCGAUCGGAUGAGCACAAAACAGAGUCAGCGUUUGAUUCUAAAGAAAACUCAAAUUCUAGAGAACCCGUUAGAGCAAAUUCAAAUUUUAGAAUACCAAUCAAAGAAUAUUCUCAAAAGAAGCAAAAAAAAUUGAUUAUAUCAUCUGAAAAGCAAGUGAAUUUUCCAAAAAAAUAUCAACUUGUUUUUAAUAAAAUAAAAGCACUUCUAGCAAAAUCGAUUAGGAUCACAACUUCACCAGUAAGCAAUUAGAAAUAGGCACUCAGUUACUUACAUCUAACUUGAUCAUCCUUGCAAAGCUCUCUGGCGAGAGUGGUUUUUCAAGAGCCACCAAUCCCACAAAUCCCAACGACCCUGAAGUCCUCCCUCCCAAAAAUCAUUCUCUUCACCGUCUUCAUCCCCACCCUCAAUCCCAACACCACCGAAUUGCUCACCUCCCACUUCAUCUGCCCUUCCUCCUCCACCCUCCUCACAGCCUCCCCCAUCCACCCACCACCGCCACCCCCGCCGACACAAGUCCCAAUCUUUAAGGCCCCAAGCUGCUGUUCCAUCAUCUGGCUCGACGCCGUUGAGCUGGAACUGCCGUUCAACCGGUAGCUCGACGCCGAAGUACUUGAUUUCUUGGAUUAUGGGGAGGAGCUCCUCGAUUGAGGAUUUGAGUUGCUCGGCGGUUCCUCUGCUGUGGCAUGAUUUGCAGGAGAUGGCGAUUAAGGUUUUCAGGAGCUCCAUCAUGACCUUUUCGAUGAAGAAGUCCGUCAUUGCCCUUGUUGGUGGUGGUGGGAGCUGUGCGACUAUGGCGGGUGAAUUGGUUUGUCUUGUUAUGGAGACAGCAUUUCGGUUACCCCACAUAUUUUUUGAAUACACCACACUUAAAAACGUAAUAUUAAACAACUUGUAACUCUAAUAUGAAAUGACUAAUCGAGCCCUCACACUUGCUCUUACUCUCCAUUGUAGAACAAAACCCUAAAAACACAAACAAGUUGAUGAAAAUAUAUCUUUUGAUCAACGGAACAAAAAAUCAAGUUUUGCUCCUCGUUCAUUCGCUGGUUUUCACAUUCGAGAAAUUAUUUAAAUAAUGGAAUGAAAAUUUGACUUUUUGCAAAGCCCUACUCUAAUUAGAACUAACAUGACCUUAUAAGAACAAUUCUUACCAUUUGUCCAUCAGGUUUCUUAGAAUCCGACGUGAUUGUUCUAGAAAAUUUGACAGAUGUUUAUAAAUCAAACGGCAAGAUAGAGAUUUUAUACAACAAUUUAAUUCAUCUUUCUUGUCUUUAAAAUAUGGAUUAUUCUUUUGUUUAAAAGAGAUGAAGAGUUUGAUGUGUGGUUAAUUAGUUGAUGAUGUGAGAUGUGAAGUGUGGGGUGUAUGAGAUGUGAGAUGUGAGGUGUGAGGGUAGUAUUGGAAAAUAUGUGGGGUGUGUUAAGAAAAAUUUUAAUUUAAAAAGUAAAUGUGGGGUGUAGUCAAUAAAAUGUGGGGUGUUAAUAAAACAACCCUUCCAUAAUCCAAUUAAAAGGAUGAUAUAAAUAUGUGGUAAAAAGUAAUAUUUUUGUUUAAACAUGGCUUUUUCAGCAUAUGUCAUCAAAUCCAGAUCUUCGCCAGAUCUUUUUUGUGAGGAUUUCAGAAAUCUGUAAAUCGUGCGAUCAUAUAUUAUUUUAAAUAUUUUUAUUUAAAAAUAAAUAUAAACAAUAGUUAACGAAAACUGACCACACGAUAUAGAUGAACAGACACAAUUCACGGAUCUCUAAAAUUCUCACCAAAAGGAUUUGGAGAGGAUCCUAUUAGUAUGUCAUCACUUUUAAUUUACUUCUUUUAUACAAAUGAUAAUGUAUGAUGAGAGAUUUUUCAAUGUGAUUGGCACACGAAGUGGUACACCACGUGUCAUUAUACAAAUAGUGUGAUAUCUGAGUUACAAAGUUAAUAACUUAAAAAAAUAUAAAAAAUUACCAUUUACAUAAAAACACAUGAUGUACUACCGUGUUUCCGUCACAAUAAAAAUUUCUCAAUGUAUGACGAGGAGUUGAAUUCUCUAUGCAAGGAUGAAUGUAUUUGACCAAUUGAAUUAUACGUCUUCUGCUAUCACAACAAAACCACGUGUGUUUUGAUGGUCUUAUCUAACCACAUUUACUCAUUGUGUGAGUUGCUUUAAUACCACUUUGUCAUGAGAAUGACUUAUAAACGGGUUUAUCAUCAGUGUAGUGUCUAGUUUUAAUACAACAACGAUAUGUAUAUGGUUGUCAACACGUGGCAUGGAUGCCACGUGGCCAUGAACUCUUUUCAUGUAAGUAGCCUUUUGCAUUCGUAGUUAGUGAUGCCAAAGAGCAAUUUUUUUGUCGAUGCAGAGUGCAUUGCAAGAGAAGUAUAGUGACAACAGGAGUAGGAGAUGCCUAUUUAUACGAGGCUAAUGUUAGGAAGAUUAAAUUUAUAAACACAAAUUUUGUAAAUUAAAUUAAAUAAAAAUUGAUAAACGUAGUCAUUUUCUAUUAAUGACAUAUUAUAUAAUUUGUAAAUUUUAUCUCACAGAUAGUCUCCCUAACAUUUUCAUUUGUCCUAUUCAUAGUGACAAAAAUCCUUUUGUUUGCUUGGAUGAGUGGCUCCCUCACCUAACAUGGAUUUGGAUCCUCUCCUGAGCUAAUGGAGAGGAUCCUCCUAACCAAUCAUCUUAGGCCGUUGGAUUUUUAUCCAACGGCUACAAAUAGGGGGAUCCCUUUAAGGAGAGGAUCCAAAUCCACCUAACAUGCCCAACAAGAUCCUCUACGGAUCCCUUUGGUGAGGAUCCUGAGGAUCCGUGAAUUGUAUACGUUCAUCGUAUAUUAUGCAAUCAGUUUUUUUCAAGUACUGUUUGUGUUUAAUUUUAAAUAAAAAUAUUUAAAAUAAUUUUUUAUCAUAUGAUGUACGAUAAACUGACAUGAUUGACUGGUCUCAAAGAUCCUUACAAAGAGGAUUCGGGGAGGAUCCGGAUUCCUAACAUGCAAGUUAUGCAAUGCAAGACCUAAACCCUAAACUUUAAACCCUAAUGUAAAGGAAUUGGAUCUGCUCAGGACCUUAGUGUCCUGAGCCUAGGGAUCACUUCAUCUGGACGACAUAAAUUUAAUCCAAUGGUCCAUAUUAACUCAUUUUUCUGGCCCACCACACAAAACCAACAACUCUAAUUUCUUUUACAUACCAAUUAGUGGUCCAGAUGAAAUGAUUCAUAGGCUUUGAACACUAAGGGUGCGUUUGGUACGUGGGAUGAGACGGAACAGAGUGGGACAUACGCGUUCCGUACCACAUUUGGUGCGCUAAAAUUACGUGGAAUGCGUGUCCCACGGAAUGAAAAUGGGUUAGAUUUUGGUUCCCCCUCCCCUUGGAACGGGUUUUUCCAUCCCGUGGGACACAAAAUUAUAAUUUUUUUGGACAACAAUACCCCUCUUAUUUUUCAUUAAUUACAUUGUCUACCUCCCUUUCUUUUCCGUAACCUCCCUCUCUUCUACCCUUGUCUCUUCCGUAGCCCUCCUCUUGCUCCACCAUAAACCCAGUAACCCAACUGCUAACCCAAUCCCAGCAAACCCAUCCGACGAUGACAACGUCACCAUAGCAAACCCUCUUCUUCUCCGGCACCGUCUGGCGUCACGAACAUGACCCCAUCUCAUCAUCUUCGUCCGUGUAAGCGAGGUGGAUCUGAUCCGGAACACGACCCGAUUCGAAGCUAAGCUCGUCAUCUGAGGUGGCGAACAAGUGGGCGGUGCCGGGGAGGGGGUUGUGGUCCUGGUCGAGGUGGUUUGGGUCGAAAAAUCCGGAAGGAGUAGUUGAAUCAGAGAUUGACCAGUGGGAGGAAAAUAGAGCCCGACCCAGAUUUCCAUGUGGGGGCAGAAGAGAGGAACUUGUAUCCUAUAAAGCUGUCGUGGUGGGAGGAAGGGGGUGAGUAGAUGCCGAGCCAGUCGAGUCGGGAGGGCGAGUCGAUGCCGGACCAUUGGGUUAAGACGGAGUCGCCCGAUUUGGAGAGCGAGGUUGGGGAAAGAGAGAGUGAAACAGUUUGGUGGGUCGGAGGGAAGAAGGUGGAUGCUGCACGGAGGAUGAUGACAACGCUGCAGGGAAGACGAUGACGAUGCUGCAGGAGGACGAUGACGUAGUUGCAAAAAUUGAUUGAAAUGAAUUUUGGGAUUUUUCUGUGUUUGAUUUGAAGAGAAAGAAAUUGUUUGGGGGUCUGAUUCGUCAUUUUUUUUCUUCUUGUAAUUGUUUGGGGGUCUAAUUGGUUGCCGAGAAAACGAAGGAAAACGACGACGCUGCAGAAAUUGUACAAACAAGGCUAAGUUAAUCAUUUAACACGAAAUCCGAACUGUUCUGUCCUAUACAUACCAAACAUAACACGAACCUCUAUUUCGUUCCGUUUCGUCCCGUCUGCGUACCAAACGGUACCUAAGGUCUGGAACAGAUCCAAAUCCUAAUGUAAACACAAAGACUUUUAAGUCAAUGAAUAUAUCACUUCAUAUGCUUUUUGACGAUGACGUGGUGCAUGGAAUGAUGCGAUGAUGAAGGUGCUUGACUGCUUUUUACUCUGCCAAUUUUAUGUGUAUGUUUGUAGGACUGUCGUCUUUUUCUCUAAUGCUUGACCGAUGAGGGUAUUCUUGGAUUCUUUUUUAUAUCCUGAUCAUUUUAUCGCAUAUUAUUCAACUAUUUUUUAUUAUGUGUUAUUUAUAUUUAAUUUUAAAUAAAAAAUUAAAUAUUUUUAUUGUAUAAUGUAUAAUGAACAGAUAAAAUGUAAUAAAUUCUAAGAUCUUCACAAAAAAAAUUCCGGAUGAAAUCCAAAUCCAUGCUUGACGACUUUCUAGACUGAAAACAGACUACCAUACUUCUGAGCAAGGACAAGAUGGUCAUUUUGUUAGUCAAUGAGAAUCACCAUUGUUGGGUCAGGGUGCAGGAAACAUUGUCUCCGAUAUUGAAAAGUGGUGGUAGCUUGCAGUGUUUAAAAUUUCGUUUAUUAUGGAAAUGUUCAAAAAAUAAGAGAAGAUAAGAAAAUGAGAGAUGAAGUCUAAACUUCACUCUAUCACUGGCAGAGCCACAACAAAAGUUAUGGUGGGCUAUAGUCCAGGGAGGAUUUGUAGCAAUAUGUAUGUACUUUAGUGUGUAGCCUAAUAUAAUGGACGAGAAAAGUGCAAGAAGAAUUAUGUUUAAUCGAACUAGCUCAGUGAGUAUUUAGCACAACUAAAAAUAUAAAAAUUACAAUAAAAAUUGUAAUGUCAUUUUGUUCAAGAUUAUUGUGCUUUGAUUUAAUGGGCUUUAUAUUGUUUUCAAUCAAUUUUUUUUUAAGAUACCUUUACUUCUACUUUUAUUGUUUUGUUUUGUGCUAGUUGAGAUGGCUCAAGUAUCAAGAUUUCUAUCUUCUUCUGGUGUUUGCAUCUAAAUAUACAUGAAAUUGGAUGAUUUAUUGUAAUUUUUGCAGUUUGUAAUUGUGAACUCAAUAGAGUUCAUGCUAAGCAAAUUUUAAAGUAUACAAAUACAAAAGUUAAACUCAAGUUUUUGCAUACAAUACGAAUGUAGCAAAAAAUAUCAUUUGAUUUUAGGAUAAUUUUUUUAGCUAGCCCACUCAUAAAGAAAUUUAAAGCUCCGCCCUUACACUCUAUAUAGGAGAAACUCUUAAGUUUAAACUAAAAUCGACAUAAAUCGUCUAUAUUUCUGACGCAACUGUUAAAUAUCCGUAACAAAUGGUCCAUUUAUUGAUGGGCGAACGACGGGGAUUGAACCUGCGCAUGAUGGAUUCACAAUCCACUGCCUUGAUCCACUUGGCUACAUCCGUCCCUGCCCGUACCCCCACACAGGUUUAGAGAAACUCUUUUAUUUCAUCCAAAAAAUGUUUGACAACCCUUAAAGUAUCCGUCGAUAUUUCCACAAAUUUACACAUUGAUAUUAUUAUCGACAGUGAUAUUUUAAAUAAGGAAAACUAAUGAAAAUGACUUGAAAACUUUGAGUUUUAAAGAUUAUGACAAAAUAAAAGGUAAAAUAAAUAGUAUCAGGUUUGACUUUUUAGUGUAAAAUGUGAUUUUUCAUUAAAGUGAACAGUACCAGGUUUUUCAUUAAAACUCCCUUUUAAAUAAGGUUUGCAGCUGAUAUUUCUACUGGUAGAAUAUACGGUGGCAGCAGCACAACCAUAUAUCCUGCAAAGUGGUGGACGUGCUGGAGGAGUAGAACUCUGGCAUGCUGAAACAAGUAGCUGAGCAGCAAGAACGAAAAGCUGAAAAUGUUGUUGUUCCUAAGAGCAAGAAGCAGCAGCUAACUUUCCCUGUCACCCCUAUUGGCUUUUGUUUUCGCCAUGACAUCGCCAACAAGACAAAAGAGUUUAAUGAGAUGUUACUUGUGAUUGACGAGCAAAGAAGAAACACGCAUGUGUUUCAACGCAAUGAAGACGGCAUACAACAAGUACCUAAACGACAAGAGACUUCUCCCCAUGUCGGACAUCUCUAAGGUGUUGUUGAAUGAUGGUAGAGAAAAUAAGAUUGCCGACCGUAAGCGGUGAUGACACCCUUAGUUCAAAUGAUCAGCUGAGUCAUGUCCAUGUCAACAUCCUUGAGGGCAAGAGGUUUUUCAUUAUCCUAGAUGCCGUGUCGACCCACCAUGAAAAGUUGGAUCAAUUAAGGGGAUUUGGAUCCCAUUCCGAUCAAAAUUGUGAGAAUCUUAGAGAUCUUCACAUCUUAACUAUUCAUCGUACAUUGUGCGGUUAAAAAUCAUUUGAAUUAUUUUAUUUAAAAUUAAAUACAAAUAGUACCUAACGAAAACUGAAUGCACGAUGUACAAUGAACGACUAUGAUAUGAGAAUCUCUAGGAUCCCCACAAAGAGAAUCCGGAGAGAAUCCUCAUCCCAAUUAAGGAUACCACUUAUUCAAAGGAGUGCUAAAGGCAAUAGAAUAUUGGUAACCACAAGAUAACAUUAUGUUGUUAAUAUGAUGAGAGCAAUAAGUGACUUGAUCAUUUUGGGGGGAGCUGAGUAUUUCAAUCUUCAACCCCAUGUCGUUUUCUACUAGGCAAGUAGACGAGUCUAAGGCGUUUGACAAUAUUAAUAAAAGAAAUGAUGGAGAAAUGUAAAGGUUUGCCUCUCAAUGCAAAAGUUUUAGGUAGUCUCAUGCGCAACAAAGGAGUGAAUGACUAGGUGUCUUGAUUAGUAAGAUAUCGGAUCGAAAAAGGGGGAGCGAAAAGUUUUCCAACCACUAUUACUAAGUUAUUAUGAUUUGGUCUUAACAGUCAAAUGUUCUUUUAUAUUAUGCUAUUAUAUAUAAUUUUUUUGAGUGAUCAGCACACGAAGGGUAUGAAUCCCACCAAUUAACAUUUGAGUGAUCAACACCAUAAUUAGCUACACAGUUAGCAAUUAGAUUAUAUUCUCUAAAAAUAUGAGAAAUCUGAAGGCUUGUUUUUAGUUAUGCUCUCCAGAACUCUAUUUUAGUCUCACUUUGCUCCAUGUAACUCUAAAGUCACCACUUUACUCCUUGAAAACUCAAAGUUCGUUCCACAUUGACUUGUGUACUCUCUUCUCCCUAAAACUUAUAGCUCGGAUCUUGAAACAUAUGUGAGACCCAUGUGCAAUAAAUUUGGUUAUAAAUAGUCAUGGAAUAUUAAGUUUAAAAGAAAUUGAAGAGAUGAAAAAAAUAAAAAUUAAAUUGAUCAGCUUGCCACACCCAAAUCAAACACACAUGAGAAAUUAACAAAUCUAAAGCAAUGUUGAACGAAUUUUGAGUUUUACAUAGACGACUUUUAAAGUAGCGCGAACUUUGUGUUUCAAGGGGUAAAGUGGAACGAACUUUGAGUUUCAAAGAGUAAAGUGGAGUGAACUUUGAGUUUCAAGGAGUUAAAUGAUGAUUUUUGAGUUACAGAGAGUAAAGUAAAAUUAAAAAUGAAAUUUUAGGGUGUGUAGCUAAAGAUAAGCCAAUCUUAACUUUCACAGAGGACAAUAGAAAAAGAUAUAUGGGACCUCGAGUGAUUAAGAAAAUAUGAAAACGUGCAUUAGACCCAACGUUAUUUGGCCUCAUUGUAUUAAACCGGCCCAUAUUUCUCAUUCCAAUUUUGUAGCUGUGUUAUCGUUGUUAUUAGCCUCGGAAGAAAAACCAGAAAUUGUUUCAUAGAUAUGCAGCAAGCUUCCUCUGCCAAAGGGAUCCGGCAGCUUUAAAUCUUCUUUUGGGUCAUCACCUUUACAAGCUUGGCAAGAUAAAACACCACUGAAAUAAAGGUUCAUUGCAUAUAUAAUAUGGUUUCAUACUGCUUUGCUAUCUUACCAUAUAUCUCUUUGUUUUUAUCUCUUAGACACGUCAUGAUGUAUGCUCGAAUCUCCUUAAUAACGUUGUAAUUUAGGCUAUUUUAUUAAUAGUUCUGUAAUAAUUGAGAAAGUUGCAUAAACCAAGUUAAUACAUGGUGUUGAAGAUUCUUUUGGACUCAUUGUACAAAAUUUCUCAUGAUAUGAAUCGAUAAUUUUAGAUUUUCUUGAAAGAUCUUUUUUUUGGCGAAAAUUCAGCCAAAUCAAGAGUUUACUUAUUUAACAGCAAUUGAACCAAUAGAGAGAUGUAAUAUUUUGUUGCUCAAUACAAUAAUGAAAUAGUUAAAUGAUUUUUCCCAUUUGUCAGUUGCCACAUCCCAGUCUCGACUCCGUCGUAGUACUAUAUUGUCCGCUUUGGGCCCCGGCCACGCCCUCACGGUUUUAUUUUUUGGCCCAUAUUGACCAACGGAGAGAGGGUGAUGUGUCUUAUAUGUACAUGCUCCCCUCCUUAUAGCACGAGGCAUUUUGGGGACUCACUGGCUUCGAUUCCAUUGGAACUUCAAAGUUAAGUGAGUUCGGACGAGAGCAUUCCUAGGAUGGGUAACCCACUGGGAAGUUCUUGUCUGAGUUUCCAGAAACAAAACUGGGAGGGUGUGGUUGGGGCCCAAAACGGACAAUAUCGUGCUACGGCAGAGCCGAGACUGAGAUGUGACAGUAUGGUAUCAGAGCCACUCUACUGUUCAGUGCGAGUGUGCCGACGAAGAUUAUUGGCAAAUCUUGGUGUAGACGAUUACCAUCGAUGAUAUAAUUCUCAUCCUAUUUUACUUUACUGUAUUUAUGCUCUGUAAUCACGUGUGAAUUGGGUUCAUUCCCGCUCACCAACGCACUCUUAUAUUUAUGCACUUUUAGGUUUAAAGUUAUUCACAUUUUCCACAUCACUAUACUUUGUGGCUUCGUCACCCUUCAGGUGUCGACCAGCACAACUCGAUUCAAAGUUCUAGUGGACAUACCGGGUUGGGGUGUGUCACCAGUGGCUCGUUCGGACUAUGUUAGUUUCCAUGGCUUCCACUUCUCAAAUCAGUGUGAAUCUCGGCAUAUAGACUAUGUUUGCUACUGGCUUCCGCUUUUCAAAUUAAUGAACAUCUCGAAAUACAUGUUUAUCUCACUUUCUUUUUUUUUCUUCUUAAUCCUGUGAUGUUGCUCGAUCUGAUUUGCAGGUUUAGACCUUUAGGUUUGGAUUUAGAAGUGUCAAGUUUCAUGUUACCCUGUCCUUUCCAUGUCUCUUUACUGUUUUCAUUGCUAGAGGUAGAAUUUAUGUCCCCUUCUUCUUUACGUAAUUUUUUUUAUCCUUUUUGCUUAUAUUAUGAGAGGUUAGGUUUAAAUCAGUGUAACUUCUUUAUUCGUUAUCAAUAAAAUUCCUCUGAAUCUUUUUCAAAAAAAAAAACAAUUAUUUUAGGUGAAUCUUGACAAUGAUGAUUUAAAAAAUCAACGGUUGUUAUUAAGUUAGUCCAGAAUUUAAAUUAAUCAAUUAUUUUUAAUAUUGGGUGUGGUGUGGUGUGGUGUGGUGUGCUAAAGUCGUAUUAGGGCGGUUGUUAUUAAGUUAGUCCAGAAGUUUAAAUUAAUCAAUUAUUUUUAAUAAUGGGUGUGGUGUAGUGUGCUAAAGUCAUAAGUUAGUCCAGAAGUUUAAAUUAAUCAAUUAUUUUUAAUAAUGGGUGUGGUGUAGUGUGCUAAAGUCGUAUUAGGGGGAGGGGAUAAGUGGGAUGGAUGAGAUCGCGGGAUGUGGGUAGACUAAUUCAAACACUCACGUAAGUUCAAUAAAAUUGGACCCUAUCUGAAGUCACUCAGACGUUACAAGUAUUUCAAAAGUGUUUGUCCUAACUUUUGGCUUCAGGCUAACGUGCUUGUGAAAUAAGCCACUUUGUUGCUUCUGAGCCGCCUAUCAUCAGUUGACUGUCACUAAAGAGGGCACUUCCAACGAUUUCUGGAGUCUUCAAAGAAAACAGAACCACAGAAACACAUGCAGAAUAAUCCUCUAAUUUUUUUUCCCUAUUAUUUGAAUCGACAUCCUCUAUGGAUCUCUGUAUCCGAAGCUUAAGAACAAGAAAAUCCGUGUUGUUGCAAAGAAUGAUUCGCACCCUUAGUUUGUGUGAGGUGGAUCGGUGAAAUAGACUAAUGGGAGCCGCAAAAUUUAAAAUGAUGGUAGAGAAAUCUGAAGAGGAUCUCAAUUCCUAUUAUUUAACUUCAUAUGAACAAAUGAUUCACUAUUUACAUCAAAAUCCAUACAAAUUAAUAAUGGUAAUGGUGCAACAAUUUGCUCAUUCAUCGAGCCAGUCCAGAUCGAAAUGUUUCUCCACCACCUGAACAUGAAGCUCCGGCAAUGCCUUCUCUGCGUCUCUCCACAUCCAAGAAAUAUCCUCGUCGCACACUACGAGGCGCAGAGACUGUAACAUUGCAGCGGAUUUCGGUAGAUUGCUAAUUUGUGAACAUUCCCUCAUGUCAAUCUUUUCCAAACUUGGUAGUUAACCAAUGUCCAUGGGAAGGCAUCUCAAAUUUACACACUGG
rnacentral:lncRNA from 1 species